CCUACGGGUGGCAGCAGUGAGGAAUAUUGGUCAAUGGCCGUAAGGCUGAACCAGCCAAGUAGCGUGAGGGAAGACUGCCCUAUGGGUUGUAAACCUCUUUUAUGCGGGGAUAAAGGUGUCCACGUGUGGGUGUUUGCAGGUCCCUCAUGGAUAAGGACCGGCUAAUUCCGUGCCAGCAGCCGGGGUAAUACGGAAGGUCCGGGCGUUAUCCGGAUUUAUUGGGUUUAAAGGGAGCUUAGGCCGGUCUUUAAGCGUGCCGUGAAAUUUUGGGGCUCAACCAUCAGAGUGCCGCGCAAACUGGAGGAGUUGAGGACGCGGAGGGCAGGUGGAAUUCGUGGUGUAGCGGUGAAAUGCUUAGAUAUCACGAAGAACCCCGAUUGCGAAGGCAGCCUGCCGCAGCGUUACUGACGCUGAAGCUCGAAAGCGCGGGUAUCGAACAGGAUUAGAUACCCUUGUAGUC
rnacentral:rRNA from 1 species